AAAACUUUCAACAACGGAUCUCUUGGUUCUGGCAUCGAUGAAGAACGCAGCGAAAUGCGAUAAGUAAUGUGAAUUGCAGAAUUCAGUGAAUCAUCGAAUCUUUGAACGCACAUUGCGCCCGCCAGUAUUCUGGCGGGCAUGCCUGUUCG
rnacentral:rRNA from 1 species